CACCACUGGUUCUGUAGCAGAACACAACCGUGGGGCUCUUAUUAAGAAACUCUGGGCUGAAGGAAUCCAGAGAGAGGCAUUGCAUUGCUUCUCAUGGGAAAGUCAGCAGUUUUUCUUCUGGCUUUCUUGGCUACUAGCUACUAUUUCUCAUAUAUUAUUGGUGAAACUUCAUUCAAGGUCAUUUCAUGCAGCCAUUAUCAGAAGAAGUCUGUACAGAGGAAGCACACAUGCUCCAUAAGAGUCAGCCCGCUAUGUGCUUCUAACAAUGUCACAUAUCCUAAUUCCUGCGUGUACUGUUUCGCCAACAUAGCUUUGGAUCUCACUCUUCAAAUCCAGUACAGUGGAAAAUGUCUGAAGUCCACUUCCUGAUUAUUCUUCAUUCAUCAUUAAAUGAGACACUCAAAGCGAGCAUCAUCUUUUCUUUGUAAGGCGCAAAACUUGUUGUUAUUAUUAUCUUAUUUAAAAAUCAAUAAAUUUUAUCAUCUGAAAAGUUCUUUG
rnacentral:lncRNA from 1 species